rnacentral:lncRNA from 1 species
GGGGUCCUUGGCCUGGCCCAUAAAGCAAGUCUUUCUCCUAGGUCUCUGGGCCUGUGAUGUAAGGGGCUGUUGUGAAGGUCUCUGAAAUGCCCUUGAGGUCUUUUUUUCAUUGUCUUGAAUAUUAGUCCUUGGCUCCCUUUUACUUAUGCCAAAAUCACAGAUAGACAUGACUAUGUAGGUAAAUAGGAAAAUAAAAACCAGUGUGUGGUGUCCCCUGUCUCGUUCUUUGUUGAUGGAUACCUGGAGGGAGGUGAGAAGUGAGGAGGAGGACUCAAGAUGGUGCUGUGAGAACAACCCAGGAUUGAGGCUCUCGCUGGAUGCGUGGAGAGGGGACAUGGAUGAAUCUGGAGAACAUCAUCCUCAGCAACUGACACAAGAACAGAAAAUGAAACACCGCAUAUUCUCACUCAUAGGAACUUCCAAGGUGAUAAAGUUUUUUGUUGUACCCCAAACUCAACUCAACAUGAAUUUCUUUCUGAAGACAUAUUUCACUCUUCAGGCAGAAUUAGAUUACCUCAUCUUUGCUCAUGAAGCUAUGAGUUUGAAAUUCAUUAAAGAUAACAUUUAUUACAUUGUACUAAAACUGUUGGUUUAUUUAUAUGAUAUUUCAGUCAUCUAUGAGUUAUUUGA